UUGAUCUUCGUCCCCUUUGUAAUUCAAGUAAGAUUAUUUUAUGUUACAUCCUAGCAUUCAUGGUUCAGCCAUUUUAAUAAAUACUAACCAAGCAUGUUAUAUCAGAUGACCCAGCUAGCUCGGUUGAUACAUCAAUCUCGCAUAAUGAAUCAACAUAUCCUCCUAAAGCUACGGGAGCGUCUGAUGUAAUUGCAGAUAAAAAUAUAAAAGAAAAUACGCAAGUAACAGAAGAAGAACGCAAACGAGACCGUAAAAAAGCUUUGAGGAGAGCUGCAUAUCGGCAGAGAAAAGAUCGGAAUCUCCAAGAUGAACAUGCACAGGCCCUUAUUUUAUCUGCCAACCCAACUAGCUCCAACUAUACAUCAUUCUCGGUUGAUGCGACGACAUUUCAUGCUACAACUACUGUCACAUCUGGUCUCAUUAAUGACAUGGAGGUACAAGAUGUGGUCUUGAAUAACACCCAAGAAACAAAGCAAAAAACCGACGAAGAACUCAAGAGAGAUCGUAGAAACGCCCUGCGGAGAGCUGCUUAUAGGAGGAAAAAGGAUAAGCUUAUCCAUGAUGAAAACAUACGUCCACUUUCGUUAUCAGGUAAAACAUGAUCUAUAUUUUCACCAUGACUUACAUAUCUUGUUUUGCUGCUCAUAGCUAAAUAUUCUUAUAGCCACCAUCAUGCUCGAUGCGUACAGUUUAAUGCUGCAUAUUAAUGCACCAUCAUGGUUUUUUUCCUAUAGACGUCUUAAAUAAUAUUGGUUCUAACUAUGUUUUAAAAUCAUUACGAAACCAGCCAACCCUAAUAGCUCCAGCUAUAUAGAAUUCGAGGGUGACGCAGCAACAUUUCCCCAUUCAACAUUAGACGCGUCUGUUGUCACUCAUGACAAUGAUCUAGCUAGGAGGCAACGUGAUAAUGAGCGGAAAAGAAAUUUAACAAACGCGCAAAGGGAGCAAAUAAACGCACAGAGGCGUGCAGAUUAUCAGCGGAAUAAGGACAAGGUAUCUGUUGAUGUCAGAGAAACAGUGAAUGAAAAAGUACGAGAGAAGCGAAUGCAACGUCGCAAAAGCAUGUCAGUGAUUGAGAAGGGGGAGUCAAGUGCUCAGAGGAAGGCCAAUUAUGCCAGAAGAAAAAACACCCCAUGCAACGAAUC